rnacentral:pre_miRNA from 1 species
AGCCCUCUGUAUCCGUACUGAGGUUUCGUCAGAGAUCAACCCGUUGGAGCUGAUGGUACUUUCCAAAUAAGUGAAGCG